rnacentral:lncRNA from 1 species
UGUGGUAGUAGGGUCGAGAUGGAGGAGGCGGAGGUGGAGGCGGAGGAGGAUACCCAUCAUGGAAGUAGCCCUGGUACCCCGGUGGGGGUGGGGGAUAGGGCCCUUGCGGUGGGGGAGGGUAGACUCCUUGGGGUGGUGGAGGUCGUGGAUAAGGUUGAGAUCCAUAUGGUGGUGGAGGUGGGUAUGGUUGUGAGUAUCCUACAACCAAACCAAACAAUGGAUCCCAAUCAUCUUCAUACCAUCUUCAUCUCACCACGAUUUUGGUGAAAUCCAAGAAAAUUCAAGAAAGCAUAAUAAGAUUCAUUGAUAAUUAGAUAAAAAGGAGAGUAGUCUUUGCCUGGUGGAGGUGGAGGUGGGUAUGGUUGUGAGUAUCCUGCAACCAAACCAACCAACAGAUCCCAAUCAUCUUCAUACCAUCUUCAUCUCACCACCAUACAGUGAAAUCCAAGAAAGCAUAACAAAAUUCAUUGAUAAUUAGAUAAAAUAGAGAGCAGUUUUUGCCUG